rnacentral:rRNA from 1 species
GGUUGUCGUCAGCUCGUGUCGUGAGAUGUUGGGUUAAGUCCCGCAACGAGCGCAACCCCUAUUGUUAGUUGCCAUCAUUCAGUUGGGCACUCUAGCGAGACUGCCGGUAAUAAACCGGAGGAAGGUGGGAUGACGUCAAAUCAUCAUGCCCCUUAUGACCUGGGCUACACACGUGCUACAAUGGUUGGUACAACGAGUUGCGAGUCGGUGACGGCGAGCUAAUCUCUUAAAGCCAAUCUCAGUUCGGAUUGUAGGCUGCAACUCGCCUACAUGAAGUCGGAAUCGCUAGUAAUCGCGGAUCAGCACGCCGCGGUCGAAUACGUUCCCGGGCCUU